CCUACGGGUGGCAGCAGUGAGGAAUAUUGGUCAAUGGCCGGAAGGCUGAACCAGCCAUGCCGCGUGAAGGUCAGUGCCCUAUGGGCGUUAAACUUCUUUUGUGCGGGAGCAAUAAUGGUCACGUGUGGCCAGACGAGAGUACCGUACGAAUAAGCAUCGGCGAACUCCGUGCCAGCAGCCGCGGUAAUACGGGGGAUGCCAGCGUUAUCCGGAUUUAUUGGGGUUAAAGGGUGCGUAGGCUGUGAGGUAAGUCAGCGGUGAAAUGCCCCCGCUCAACGGGGUGAAGUGCCAUUGAUACUGCCUUGCUGGAAUGCGGAUGCCGUGGGAGGAAUGUGUGGUGUAGCGGUGAAAUGCAUAGAUAUCACACAGAACACCGAUUGCGAAGGCAUCUCACGGAUCCGCGAUUGACGCUGAUGCACGAAAGCGUGGGUAUCAAACAGGAUUAGAUACCCCUGUAGUC
rnacentral:rRNA from 1 species